rnacentral:rRNA from 1 species
AUACGGAGGGUGCAAGCGUUAAUCGGAAUUACUGGGCGUAAAGCGCACGCAGGCGGUUUGUUAAGUCAGAUGUGAAAUCCCCGGGCUCAACCUGGGAACCGCAUCUGAAACUGGCAAGCUUCAGUCUCGCAGAGGGGGGUAGAAUUCCUGGGGUAGCGGUGAAAUGCGUUGAGAUCUGGAGGAAUACAGGUGGCGAAGGCGGCCCCCUGGACGAAGACUGACGCUCAGGUGCGAAAGCGUGGGGAGCAAACAGGAUUAGAUACCCUGGUAGUCCACGCCGUAAACGAUGUCGACUUGGAGGUUGUGCCCUUGAGGCGUGGCUUCCGGAGCUAACGCGUUAAGUCGACCGCCUGGGGAGUACGGCCGCAAGGUUAAAACUCAAAUGAAUUGGCGGGG